GCUAGCGGCAGGCCUAACACAUGCAAGUACGAGGGGUAACAGGGAAAGCUUGCUUUCCGCUGACGACCGGCGAACGGGUGCGUAACACGUAUGCAACCUACCUUCCACUGGGGUAUAGCCCAGAGAAAUCUGGAUUAAUCCCCCAUAGAACCAAGAGUCGCAUGGCUCAAUGGUUAAAGGAUUCCGGUGGAAGAUGGGCAUGCGUCCCAUUAGCUAGUAGGUGAGGUAACGGCUCACCUAGGCAACGAUGGGUAGGGGGUCUGAGAGGAUGAUCCCCCACACUGGUACUGAGACACGGACCAGACUCCUACGGGAGGCAGCAGUGAGGAAUAUUGCGCAAUGGACGAAAGUCUGACGCAGCCAUGCCGCGUGAAGGAUGACUGCCCUAUGGGUUGUAAACUUCUUUUAUAUACCAAGAAACCUCGGGACGUGUCCCGAGCUGACGGUAGUAUAUGAAUAAGCACCGGCUAACUCCGUGCCAGCAGCCGCGGUAAUACGGAGGGUGCAAGCGUUAUCCGGAUUUAUUGGGUUUAAAGGGUCCGUAGGUGGACCAUUAAGUCA
rnacentral:rRNA from 1 species